AUGGAGCAAAUUCAGAACAAAGAUGGCAAGACCAAACAUCUCAGAUACUACAUGCACAUCCUUGCCGUUGCAGGACUUAGUAUAACCAUGGCACCACACAAAACUUCAACAUCCGAACUAACCGUCAGCGAAAUCUAUCUAAACAUAAACUACCCUAUGCACACAUACACACAACAGAGAAUCUGUCUAAGCCUAGCUAGCCUAGCUACAAACGAGAGAGGAUCAAACGAAGAACAGGACACCAAUGUAGGGUCAGUCAUGGCAGCAGAGGAGCAUGACAACGCAUCGCCGGAUGAUGUAGAGCCUGGCCUUGUGUUGCCUCAGCAUCCUGCUGAUCCCUCCUCCUCCUGCUGA
rnacentral:rRNA from 1 species